rnacentral:rRNA from 1 species
GCAUCGAUGAAGAACGCAGCAAAUUGCGCGUCAACAUGUGGACUGCAGGACACAUGAACGUCGACAUUUUGAACGCACAUUGCGGUCCCCGGAUACUGUUCCUGGACCACAUCUAGCUGAGGGUCGUU